rnacentral:tRNA from 1 species
GGUAGCUCAGUGAUAGAGUGCUUUCCUGGCAAGUGUGAGGCCUGGGUUCAAUUCUCAGUACUG